rnacentral:lncRNA from 1 species
ACAAAACUGGCCACCUGUGGGUGCCAUCUGGUGGUGAGCACUCUGAUCCUGAUCCAGCAAUGUUUUGGAAUGCAUGCUUACCUUUAAAGGCAUGAACGUUCUUCUGAAGUGUGCUAAAUCACGCACAGCCUGCUAGGCACGUUGGAAGAAUGAAUCCUAAUGCAAGUCCUCCUAUGGAGAUUCAUUAGAAGGGCAAAUAUUUUAAGAACUAAGGCUUGUAACAACCCUGAGAAGGAAAAAGCACUUCUUGCUCAUGGGAAGACUGAAGAACAAGGCAAGGAGAUCUGUUGUGAUGUCACAGGACACAUGAGAAAGCAUGGAAGGGCUGGGAACAGAGCUCAGCAGCUAUCUUCAUUCUGCUGCCUUUGCCACAGUGAUCAGUGAAAGAGAAAAAAAUUAAUUGAAAAAUGUGGUCAUCAAACUCAUGGAAAGUGGCAAGAUGAAAUAUAGAGUGUGUGUGGUAUAUGAAUUUGUUUUAAUUCCUGUUUUUAAGUGUAGAAGUGAUCGCGUUUCAGAUCAAUGAUGGUUCUUUAACAUUAUUUCCACUGCAUGGGUAAAAAUAAAAUAAAAAUGAUGGCCUUUAGAUGUUC